rnacentral:lncRNA from 1 species
CACUCCAUAAUUUAAUCAACUGAACCAGUCCCUUCCUGUUAACAGUUCAACUGUUAAAGCUGCUUCCAGCAUUUCAGCAUCACAUAUAACACUGCAAUUAACCUGAAUUUGGUGGAUCCAAAAUAACAGCUUUCCUAGAUACAUCCACUAGACAGAGUGGGAUGCAGUAAGAUUUUACACAUGACUGAUAUCUCUCUUGGAGAAUGCAAGAGUCUGUAACUACCUGAGUCUCCACAAACAUAGCCAUGUCCAUGAACAUCUCAUGCAACUCUCGGAUGCUGGUCUCCAGCUUCAUGAUGUCCUUGUGACGUGACUCGAUUUCAUUGAGAGCUUGUCUAGUAAUUUGUGAAUCUGAUAUAAUCUUGGAAAAACAAAAAUAAAAGAUAAUAUUAAUAAACUUAUGAUGGGUUUGGAAGUUAAAGGGUUUUUAAAAAGCUCUGUCUACAGAAGAGGACAUGGAGCCACAGGGCCGCACCCCCACUCACGUCGGAAGUGAAGAUGGAUGGCUUCCCGCUCUCCAGCAUCUCUUCUAGCUCGUCGUCUGUGGUGGUUCUCCCAGCUGAAAGACCCGCAACCACAGCCCCACUCAGAAUGCAGCACAAUUUAAAAACAAAGCCAUUUGCAACCAUAAGUUAGCAACUACAAUCAUAGUUGUUAGCAUUUUUCAGUAAUUUUUUUAACCUUUUCUUAAGCAGAUAUUGACAAUGAGAAGUGAACCUAAGAUUGAGGAGCAAGAAGAAAUAAAAAUACUCCGAGAAACUUUGUAAAUGUUAUAAACAAUAAAAUUUCAUUUUAAUAUUAGUGAGAAACAACUGCAGAAAGGAAAUCGGUAAACAAUGUCUCGGCACACUGGUUUCCCUAAGAGUUUAACUCCGCCUCAUGUAAAAGGGGGUUGAGCUGAAUGUAGCAUGUAUUAAAUGAGGAUCAAUAAAGUCCACGUAAUGAGAGUCAGAUGCCUGAACACUUUCCAUGUUUGGAAGUUAAUGCUUUCCUUUUGAGUUAAAUGUGUAAUGACUUCGAAGAAACAUGUACACAGGUUUUGGAAACCUAAUUGUUAAUUACUAUUUUUCAUAGUUUGUGCCACAGAAGACAAAAGUAAAUGAAUAAAUGUCAUAAUUCAAAUGUCAUCUAAUAAGCAGCAUUAUUCAUAAUUGCCAAAAAGUGGAAACAACGCAAACGUCCGUCCCCCGAUGCCUGAAGGAGCUAACUGCGGUCUAGCUGCACACUGACAUACGACUCAGCCACAAAAACAAAGGACGCUUUUGGUUUUUGUCGCUUUGUUUUUUGAGACAGGGUCUCACUCUGUCGCCCAGCCUGGAGUGCAGGGGCACCGUCGCAGCUCACUGCAACCUCUUCCUCCCGGGUUCAAGCAAUUCUCAUGCCUCUGACCCCUGAGUGGUGGGGACUACACGCGUGCGUCACCACGCCCGGCUAAUUUUUGUAUUUUUAGUAGAGGUGGGGUUUCACCAUUUUGGCCAGGCUGGUCUCGAACUCCUGACCUCAAGUGAUCUGCCCACCUCAGCCUCCCAAAGUGCUCGGAUUGCAGGUGUGAGCCACCGUACCCAGCCCUUUUUAUUUUUUUAACAAAGAUACGGUCUCACUCUGUCACCCAGACUGGAGUGUAGUGGUGCAAUCUCAGCUCACUGCCGCUUUGACCUCCUAGGCUCAAGCAAUCCUCCUGCUCCAGCCUCCCAAGUGACUGUGAUUAUAGGCACACACCCAUGCCUGGUUUAUUUUUAUUUUUUUUUACAGAGAUGGGGUUUUGCUAUGUUGUCAAGCUGGUCUUGAACUCCUGGCCUCAAGCGAUCCUUCCACCUUGGCUUCCCAACCAACACGCUGGGAUUAGUAUACAUGUGAGCCACCACACCCUGCCCACCCCAUGGUGAAACCUUGGAAAAACUGUGUUACAGGAAAGAAGUCAGUCACAGAACACAUAGUGUAUAAUUCCAUUUAUAUGAAACAUCCAAAAUGGGAAAAUGUACAGGAGUAAAAAGUAGAAUGCAGUUGUCUUGGGCUAGGAGAGGAAAUGGGGAAUGACUGGUGGUGGGUGUGAAGUUUCUUUUUGGGUUGAUAAAAGUGUUUUAAAUUGAUUGUGUGUGGAAAUACACCAAAAACCACUGAAUUAAUUGUAUGCUCCAAAUAUCAUUCACAUAUUAAGAGAUUUACUUCUCAAUAAAGUUGUUGAGAUGUCAUUUAAUGAAAAAAGUUUUAAAGUUAGUAAAUUGCAAAAUUUGUUUACUUACACUAUUUUUUGGGAGGUAAUUCUCAAUCAUUUAAAAAUCUAUUUGAGAGCACACAUGGUGGUUUACAUGUAUAAUCCCAGUGCUUUGGGAGACCAAGGUGGAAGGAUUGCUUGAGGCUAGGAGUUUGAGACUAGCCUGGGCAACACAGCAAGACCCUAUCUCUACAAAAAAUAAAAUAAAACUUAAAAAUCUAUUCAAAAUAGCUCAAUAAGGAGAUUCUCUGAGUUUUGCUUUGCUUUUUUAAAAACAUGAAACUUGUUCUAAAUAAUGUAAAAUAUAAUCAUCAAAACUAGAAAUUUCAGCUUGGGCAACAUAGUGAAAACCUCGUCUCUACAAAAAAUAAAAUUAGCCAGGUAUGGUGGUGUGCUUCUGUGGUCCCAGCUACUCGAGAGGCUGAGGUGGGAGGAUCCCUUGGAUCCAGGAGUUCAAGGCCACAAUAAGUGGUUAUCACAACACUGCACUCCAGCCUGGGUGACAGCGUGAGGCUCUCUCUCAAAAAAAAAAAAAAAAAAAAAAACAAACUAAAAGUUACAGUUCAUGUCUCACGUUCACAAAGGUCUUCCCACCGGCUAACUGCUAAGUCUAAGAAACAGCCUGGGGUUACAGAAUGUGAAAUGCAGUAUACAUUCGUAAUUCCUUAUCCAGAAUGCUGAAAUCCACAACAUUAUGAAAACUGGGUUUUCCUUAAGCUCGAUGUCAAAAUUCAAUGAGCGGCAAAAUCUGACCUAAACUGAGUCAUGGCUAUUUAUAAUCUUAACUCCUCCCCCUUACUGUGAAUACUCACAUUUCACUGGAGAGCUGUGUGAAUGUGCCUGAUUACAGGGUGCAGUCCUAGACCCCACCUGGGGAUUACAUAAUACACCUCUUAUACAUUGUACUAUCUUCCUAAAAUCUGAAAAAUUCUGAACUCUGAAACACAUACAGCCCCAACCAUUCCAGAGAAAGCACUGUGGACCUAUGUAACAUGCCCUGGUCCAAGAAGAAACUCACUUGCCAUUUGAAGAAACAAAGCAUACAGCACAGGAAAAGAUAUCCUGUGAUACAAGGUAAGAAACCUGCCUGAUGACAGGGCUGACGGAAGGAAGAAAGAAAGGGGACAAAAUGGUUUUAGGUGCAAGGAUUUGGAGAAGACCACUGUAUGAAGACAGCCCGCUGUGUGGCCAGAGUGACGCCAUCCUGAAGCAAAACCACCGUGAUGACCGAUGCUCGACUCGUGCAUGCCAAGCUGUUCUGCAAUGAGGUCUGAAGACGAUGCCUCCGGCACAGGCAACCUCUCAUCAAGAUGCUCAUCCAGCCUGACCAGUGGUCCCAAGUGUUGUCAAGCAAGUCAGAAGACAGGGCCGGCUGCACACGUUCUACCCUGAAAGCCUGCUGUAUAAAGAACACUUUCUGAGGGCAGGCGGCUGUGGGGUCCACCGUCUCUGUCUCUCGGGGGCUUCUGUUCGUACGUCCCUAGCCAAUGUUUCCUUCGAGAAACUGGAUUUGUUAGCCUCUUUCUUUGGCGUCUCAGCUCGCUCAGCCUUUGGGGGUGAGUUUGCAUAGACCUGCUCACUUCGGAAUAGCCACAUGGAGGGUUUAGAAUUUAACAGACUUAAAGGAAUUACUAAAAAAAACUCCCAACACGUAUAUGAUACUUCAUUGCUUAUAAGACACUUUCACAAACAGUACUGCAUUCGAUAGAGUAUGAUUGCAAGAGAAGAAACUGGAAAUGAAUUCUGUGGGCUGAGAUAGAAUAAUGUGGGAAAGAGAGAAGAGACUUAGGCGAUCUGAUCACGCCACCGGAUUCACAUGGGGAGUGAAGACAGGAUGGACCUGCAGGAGAGAUGGUGCGGGGCCUUCAAGCCCAGGCUGGGGAACUCUGUGCUAGAAAAGCGCUCACCACAGAGUCCCAGAGCAUAAAUCCUCACAGUGCAACCGGCUGCCUGUAAUGAUGACUUUCACUUUAAAAAGUACUAACAGAUCCCUGAAGUCAAAGUGGUUUGUAAAAACUUUUUCAUAGAAAAGCAGUCUAGUCGACAUCAUGAUUGAGCAUUUCUGCCAGGAUGGAGCAACAGGGACCGUAUUUUCCCUGCCACUUGAAAUAACCACAAACCCACCAAAAUCUACAAAACGAUUUCCAAGACACUGAGCAUCAGGCCACACACUGAUUCCCAACAGAUGGAAACAAGCCAGGUGAGCCUGCUGCUGCCCUCAGACGGAACUCUCGUGUCAGCCACAGAGCAGAAAGGGCCCAGGUGGAGCCCAGGGGAAGUCCUAAGGCAAAGGCACAGAGCUCAGGGGAGACCAAGGCAACUGGAUUUGCAAGAUGGAGUAUGAGAGAUGAGAGAGAUGCAGAGAGCGAGCUGCACAGACCCCGCAUGCUCACUGGAGUGCUGACCAGCAUGCCAGAGGGAACACGCUGCCAGGCAGACGAGGGUGCCAUGAGGUUCACGGCCAUCAGAGCAGGUGCUCAGAAGGGUCUUACCUCAGGAGUGAGGAAUGACAGGCCCUCAAAUAAAGCUGCUCUGCUCCCUCUAAAUGCAAGAUCCCAAAGGCUAAACCAUGCUCAUGUGAUUUAACUACAUUCUAAAACAAAGCCCAAGGAGAUUUACAAAAAUACUCAAAAUACAGAAAUACUCAGCACCCAACAAAGUAACGUUCACAAUGUCUGGCACACACUCGAAACUUACCAGGCUCGCAAAGAAGCAGGAAAACACAAGCCACAGAAAGGAAGGAAAUCAACCAACCAGAGCAGACAGGACACUGGAGUUGGCAGACAAAGACGGUUCAAGUUACUACAAGUGCGUCCCAGUUGUACAGUGGGGAGCAACACAGCAGACAUGUAAAACACCCAGCAGAACUAGCAACAGAAACCAGUGUCUCCGAUGAAACAUACACCAGAGGAGGUUAAAGGCAGAUCAGACAAGCAAGAGAAACUGACCAAAACCAAACACACUGGAAAAGAGUAUCUAAAACAUGAGGAGCCUCGCUGAGCUGUGGGACAAGGUCAAGCGGCCUGGCGGGCAUAUGACAACAUUCUCUGAGGGGGAUGUGCGGCGUUGGGAGCCGGGAUGGGCCUGAGGCUUCAUCUGACCUGCGAGCUGACACGCUGGCCUGCCAGGGCUCCGUGGGGGCCGGCAGAAGGUCCAAGGCCCCAGGUCAGGGACAAAGGGAUUUCCUACUCACAGCACAGCAGGCAACCUGAGGCUCAUGAGCAGCUGUCCACGGCCCCCAGUCUCAUGGGGAGAGGCAGAGCAGCUGCAGUGGGACGUCCUCACAGUGGGUUUGUGUCACAGCUGAAGGACCCGAGCUUGGGAACCCCAAUCUUUCACAAUGGGGAGUCUACAAACCUGACCAACCUUUAUCCCUGAAACAGACCCGUCUGUCCCCGAAGAAGGCGCCAUCUCCACUGCCACAGCCAACUGUCCCCAUAGACACCCCUGAAAAGAGUCUGGGGCAAUAGGGCCGCUGCCUCUGCUCACAGACAAGGAGAGAUGUGAGGAGCCAUGAAGAUGCCCCCGAACCAGGGCAGGGCGGGACUGAGGACACAGAAACACUCAAAGAGGAAAUGACUGAGCACUCUCCCAAUCUCCCUGAAACUCUAAAAGCAACAGCAAUGAGCAAGGUAAACCCCACCGCUUAGGACUUCCUGAAGACAGGAAGAACAGGUUUGCCUGACUCACGGCAUAGGAAGCUACGAGUGGUCUUUGGGUUUUACACUAUUGGUGAAAAUAGACAUGGAUUUCCUUUUCUGAAGUUAAAGUCAUUUGAAGUGAGACCUUAAGGGAGAAAAACAUGAUUUUAACAAAGACGGAGUCUCCAUUACUCACUUAUCUCCAGCUGGCGCUGGAUGCGGCCUUUGCUCCGCUCCCGAAACAGAGUCUGUGCCUCAUUGUACUCCGCCAUGGCUUCCACAAACUUCCGAGACAGCACCGAAUGCUAACAACACAGGAAAACUACAUUCGUAUCUGAGGGCCAUGCCUUCUACUGAAAGUGACAUGCAAGACAUGCAUUUUGGAAACUCAAACUACAUGUUAUUCUGCUCCUGCAAAUGGAAAAUGACAAUGGCAAAGUCCCCAUGGCAGCAUCUGUGCUAAGAACUUUGCAUGCAUGAUCUUACCUAAUUUUUACAAGACCCCUACUAUGCCGGUCACAACCCUACUUAAAGAAAACCAUGACUUUGAGGUCAUUAGCCCAAGGUCACAGGCUUUUCUGAUAAACACAGAUCAGCACUGGGACCCAGGCAGGUGGACCCCAGAGCCCGCGUGCUUCAUCGCCUUGUGCCCAUGAGGGGACCCAGGCAAGCGGACCCCAGAGCCCGCGUGCUUCAUCGCCUUGUGCCCAUGAGGGGACCCAGGCAGGCGGACCCCAGAGCCUGCGUGCUUCAUCGCCUUGUGCCCAUGAGGGGACCCAGGCAGGCGGACCCCAGAGCCCGCGUGCUUCAUCGCCUCGUGCCCUCGAGGCCUCAGGGCUCUGUCUUCCUCUGGGCAGUACCACAAACCACUAAAACGUGGCGGCCUUACCACAAACACUAAAAUCAUUUGGAUAAUUCCCUACUCUUUGGAAUAGAACUCUGUUGAUGGACCGAAUAGAUUUUUCUUCACAAUAAAGAGAUUUCUAUAAAUACUGUGAAAGGAAAAUAAAAUCGCAGGACCUCACACUCACUAUCCCAAAGGGACAGUUAAGCUUGGGAACUGAGUCAUGCAAAACACUGCCCUCCCUCCUCUUCUCAAACAGAUGGCUGCAGUGACAGAAGGCCGCACAUCGCCCCAGCAGCCUCCUGCACAAAGUGCUCACAAGGAAAUUCCUCGUAGGUCCCAGAAUCUUUCAGAAUCCAUAUCCCCCCCACCAAAAACUAACUCUAAAACAGAGUUCUGCAGAAUCUCACCCUGACAAUGUACAUUAGCCGCUUACCUUCACAGGUACAGGACAAAGACAAGACUAGAAGUCACCCUCGGCCCACCCUGAGAAAUGCAUGUAUAGCUCCUCCCUCACCUCAGGCUCACACUGGCCCACGUAAGAGGCGGAUCUGGGCACGGGAGGAGUGCAGAAUCGACCCCCACUCCUCUCUUCCCACAUGUGAAAUGUGAACGCAGUGAGCCCUGAGCAAAGCCUCACAGCAGUGUGGCCACCCCGCUGCCUACCCCCACUUUUUCUCUUUUUUUUCCCCUUUCCUCCUUCCUCUCCUGCCCGCUCUUUCCCCUUUAAAUACUGAAGUCCUCAAAACCCUCUUCAGGAAAGGCACAAACCACAGAUCCUACUCUAAUUUGUAUUUCUUUUCUCCAAGUGUGUCCUCAACUUUGGCAAAAUAAACCUCUGUCUCAGAUACUUUUGUUUUACAAUACUAUAUUAUUUUUGUGCAGAAAUACUAUGAGGAUAAGCAUGACAGUAAAGAUGAAAUUAUUCAGAGUCUGCAAGAAGAAAGUAAAAACACUUAUUCUGCGACAUUACUUUAAUCUAAACGAGGCUGAUAGCAAACCUGGGUUCUUCGUAUCCGAAGAUCCACUGAAGUCCGGUUCCCACUCUCAUCCUGAUCAAAACUUUGUUCAAUAGCUAGGAACAAAUAGGAAAUAAUUACCUUCCAAAUUUAAAAAUGAAAAUGUUCCAAGCCUGACUUCAAAUUCCUUUUAUUUCUUAUCUUUGAAGUAUCUUUAUAAAACUAAAGCUAAUGAACAAGUGACCUUCUAAAACAAUCUACUAAAAAGACAAUCCCUCAAUAGGAAAUUAUUUUCUGAGACAAGGUCUGGCUCUAUCACCCGGGCUGCAGUGCAGGGGCACAAUCUCGUCUCACUGCAACCUCUGCCUCCCAGGCUCAAGCAGUCCUCCCACCGCAGCCUCCCGAGUAGCUGGAAUUACAGGCGUGUGCCACCACAUCCAGCUAAUUUUUGUAUGUUUUGUACAGACGGGAUUUUGCCAUGUUGCCCAGGCUGGUCUCGAACUCAUGAGCUCAACUGAUCCGCCUGCCUUGGCAUCCCAAAGUGCUGGCAUUACAGGUGCGAGCCACUGCGCCCAACCCCAUCAAGAGGAAACAUGUAUAUGUAGAUACACACAGAUAUAUAUACAUACACACAUAUAUACACAGAUACACACAGAUAUAUAUACACACAUAUAUACAAAUACAUGGAAAACACACAUACAAAAAAAUGGAAACAUAACCAACAAACUUUAAAACUGGGUACCACUAAAGGGAAAGGAGAAACAAGGGGACGAUGAAGAAAGAAGCUAGACUCCGAAUAUGUUUUAUAUAUUUGACGUCAGAAUGACAUAAAUACUUCACAAAACUUAAUGCAAAAUUAAAUUUAAAAAAAUUAAUCCCUAAACUUCAAAGAAAAAAUAAAGCAAACCUAACAGUAAGUCAAGUUAAUGAUAUAAACAUACAGAGGAGCCGGGUGCAGUGGCUCACGCCUGUAAUCCUAGCACUUUGGGAGGCUAAGGCAGGCGGAUCACUUGAGGCCAGGGGUUCGAGACCAGCGUGGCCAACAUGGUGAAACCCUGUCUCUACUACAAAUACAAAAAUUAGCUGGGUGUGGUGGCGGGUGCCUGUAAUCCCAGCUACUCGGGAGGCUGAGGCAGGAGAAUUGCUUGAACUCAGGAGGCGGAGGUUGCAGUGAGCCGAGAUAGUGCCAUUGCACUCCAGCCUAGGCGACAAGAGCGAAACUCCAUCUCAAAAAAAUAAACACACAGAGGAAAAACUAUUCAAAGCAACUUUAAAACCCAGUAAUUUGUAGCUGGACACAGUGGCGUGUACCUGUAGUCACAAGUGCUCGGGGGAUCACUUCAGCCUAGGAGUUCGAGGCUGUAGUGCGCUAUGAUCACACUGGUGAACAGUCACUGCACUCCAGCCUGGCCAGCACAGCAAGACCCCAGGUCAAACAACAACAACAACAACAAAAAGUAAUUUGAUUAUCUAGCCCAGUGGGAUAUACCUAUAGACAAAAAGAAUGACACAAAAAAUAAAAAAUAAACCUUUAAGUAAUCAUACUCUUGACAGUAGAUGCUGGCAUAAUUAUUUUGAGUCUGUUGUGUGUGUACUAUGAAUAGCAAGUGAAUAAUUAUGUGUCAGUGAGAACCAGAAUUUGGGGCAUAGUUGAAAGGAAAUAAAGAUGUAAUAUUGCCCUUAUUAAGUAAAAAUCCUUUCAAAAAAAUUUUUAGUCCUUCCUUUAUUCUUAAUUUAAUUUGGAUUCUCAGUAACAAAUCAUGAUUCAUUUUAUCUUUUAAAAAAAUCUUAGCCCAGUCCACUGAAAAAGCCUAGGAAAGAAUGGUCAGGUCAUCGUCAUGUAUAGCAAUACAUUCCCCAGCAUGCUGACCUCGGUGUCUAGAUCACAUUCUUCAGACACAGGAGCAGGGCUUCCUGGGGAAAUGGCUGAUGCCAGGCCCAGGGAGGAAAGGGGUGAAAUGAGCAUGGGGACUUUUGUCACAGCAAAAAGUGGAAAGGCUGUCACAGACAAUGAGGGGCCUACCAAAAGGACUCAAGAGUCCACCCUACUAGCCAAAGAGACCAUCUGAGCAUUAAGGAUAAUGCAGCAAUGAAAACAUCAGAUGUGUUUAAAUCCAUGUGUUCACGAUGAUGGACGACAAGCAGCAACAGAGACUCUCCCUGGUCAUCUCUGGAGGACCCCAGGGAACUGACCUAUGAAAAUUAUACCAGAGAGAGAGAGAGUCCAACGCUGAUCCUCUCUGUCCUCCAUGAUCUGUGACCCAGAAUGUGCUUUGGCUCCCUUGGUUGGAGAAGCCAGGUCAUUCGUCCUACAGAACCUGCCACACUGCACAUUUUGCUGAUUUCACCCUGCAACACAUUCAGUAAGCUCUGCUGUCCUCUGUAUUUACUGUGGGCUCAUAGUUAAAUUCUCCAAACUACCCAAUUCAAGAGUUGAAGGGGAAAGGUUUCUUUUUAACUAUUCCAGCAACUAAACAAAGAAGGAAGAAUAAAAUCAGGAUAUUCAUGCUUGUAAUCCCAGCACUUUGGGAGGCUGAGACUGGCCCACCGUGCCAGGCCACCAUUAACAUCUUAACGUAACCAUGAGGACAUAAAAUCUGUAAUCAGAUGCUGCAUCUUUACAUUUUAAAAACCCACAAAAAACACCUGAAUCAGAUAAAGCUUGGAGAAUUUAACUACCAACCUACAGCAAAUUCAGAGGACGGCAGAGCCUAUUAAAUGUGCUGCAGAGGUAAAAUCAGCAAAAUCUGCAGCAUGGCAGAUUCUGUAGGACAAAUGACCUGGUUUCACCAACCAAAGGAAAAAGUGCAGAGAGAAAAAUCAUGAAGGGAGAAUCUCAUUUUUAAAAGCCAGGGUUUGGUCCUUAUUUGGGACUCAAUUCAAGCAAACUGUUUAAAAAAAAAAAAUCGUAAGACCACUGGGGAAAUUCUGCCUGGAUAUUCUGUACUAUUAAGUAAUUAUAAUGAAUUUGGGUUUAGAUAUAAUUGUGGUUGUGCUUUUGGGGAAGCUUCUGUUUUUGAAAUACACACUGAUGAAAUCUCAGAUGCCUGGGAUGGGCUUCAGAAUAGUCUGGGAGCGGGUGCGGGUGGGAGCUCAUGGAGAACUGUGGAGCUGGGGGGUCGGCUUGUGGUCGCCUCUCUCUGCUUCUGCACACAUCUGAAACCUGCCGUAAUAAAAGUAUUUUAUCAUCUGCACAGAGAUUGUUUUUGAUCUUGAUGCCAUUCUGCAAAAAUCAAAUACAACAUGUUUUCUACCAAAUCGAGAAAAAGCAACCUCUGUUUAAGUCCCCUGUUUUACAUGACAAAGCUAUAAGCCUCCCAAAAAACUACUGCUGCUAAAGUGGAAUGCCAAACAUCAUCGAAUAAAUUCUACAGAAAGUUUGAAAGAAAUGAGCAAUUAAAGGGUCCAUUCAAGAAGAGCCUGGCAACUCACCUUCCCAAACAUCUGCAACUUAGCCUGAAAUGUCAUCAAAAAUGUAACAGUAUAACAGUUUAUAAGCAAACACAUAACCUUUUUGAAUAUUAAUUAGUACUCUGAAUUACAUACAAAUAAUUUAUUUUAAAGCAGUCACUAUUUUAAUUUUUAAAAAUGUAAAAGAACAAAAACCAAUAAAGAAAAAAAUAACAAAUACCCAUACUCCCAACAUCAAUAAUUAAACAUAAAACUUCAAACUUAC